GACGAACGCUGGCGGUGUGCUUAACACAUGCAAGUCGAACGGAAAGGCCCUGCUUUUGUGGGGUGCUCGAGUGGCGAACGGGUGAGUAACACGUGAGUAACCUGCCCUUGACUUUGGGAUAACUUCAGGAAACUGGGGCUAAUACCGGAUAGGAGCUCCUGCUGCAUGGUGGGGGUUGGAAAGUUUCGGCGGUUGGGGAUGGACUCGCGGCUUAUCAGCUUGUUGGUGGGGUAGUGGCUUACCAAGGCUUUGACGGGUAGCCGGCCUGAGAGGGUGACCGGCCACAUUGGGACUGAGAUACGGCACAGACUCCUACGGGAGGCAGCAGUGGGGAAUAUUGCACAAUGGGCGGAAGCCUGAUGCAGCAACGCCGCGUGCGGGAUGACGGCCUUCGGGUUGUAAACCGCUUUCGCCUGUGACGAAGCGUGAGUGACGGUAAUGGGUAAAGAAGCACCGGCUAACUACGUG
rnacentral:rRNA from 1 species